rnacentral:rRNA from 1 species
UACGGAGGAUGCAAGAGUUAUCCGGAUUUAUUGGGUUUAAAGGGUGCGUAGGCGGGAAAAUAAGUCAGUGGUGAAAUCCUACAGCUUAACUGUAGAAUUGCCGUUGAUACUGUUUUUCUUGAGUAUGGUCAAGGAAGGAGGAAUGUGUAAUGUAGCGGUGAAAUGCUUAGAUAUUACACAGAACACCAAUUGCGAAGGCAGCUUUCUGGCCCAUUACUGACGCUGAGGCACGAAAGCGUGGGGAUCGAACAGGAUUAGAUACCCGCGUAGU